ACCUGUAGUGCAAUGGAUAGCAUUUUGGACUUCUAAUCCAAAAAUCAUGGAUUCAAAUCCUGUCUUUGGUG